rnacentral:lncRNA from 1 species
UUUAAAUAGCAUCAUGUAGCUAUUGCCUAUAGAAUUAGAUAGUGCAAAGGAGUGAAAAAUUAAGAAAUGAGCCAGUCUUGUAUGGUAGCACAUGCCUGUUCUUCCAGACACAGGAGGCUGAGAUGAGCAAAUUACUGGAGCCCAGAAGCUCAAGGCCAGCUUGGACACCAUAGUGAGACCCUAUCUCAAAAAUAAAUAAAUAAAUAAAAUGAAGCCAGACAUGGUGGCACAAACCUAUAAUCACAGCAUCUCAGGGAGGCUGAGGGAGGAGCCUCAGCAACAGUCAGGUGCUAUGUAACAACGCAGAGUGACUUAUAUAGAUUCCAGUUGCAAAUUACCUACAACCUUGGUUACUACUAGCGACUCUGAAACUCAGUGAAAUCUGUCUCUAAACAAAAUACAAAAUAGGGCUAGGGAUGUGACUCAGUGGCCAAGUGCUCCUGAGUUCAAUCCCUGGUCUCCCCCCGCUGCCCCCCAAAAAAGUAGUAGUAUGAUGGGAAGUAGUACAAGUCCAAGUCUGGUGAAGGGGCUUAAAUUUGCCAACAGUACUCCAGCCAGAGGUUAUAAUCUCCUCUCCAUUUCUUGCCUAAGAGCACAGACCUUUUAACUCCAUGAACCUUAUUUUAUUGGCUUUAUGGGAAUCUAUGAGCAAUUGAAUUUUGAGUUGCUGUUGGGAUUGAAACAGCAAGUCAUUUUUUUCUCCUUAAAACACCAAGACCUUGAAGGGUUGGUUUCCACAUUCUAAUGAAAAAUGCUAAGUGUUGUAAUUUUUUUAUUUUUCAAAUCUACAGUUUCAAAGCACUGGUCCCUAUCUUUCACUUUAUCAUCCUGUUUGCUUCUUACUCUCCCCUAAAGCAGUUCUUCCCUAUAUGGUCAACUUAAUUGUGCAAGAAAACUGUCCUCUUUGUUUAUUAUUUAGGUCUGGUUAAAGAUUGAAUCUUGCCAAAAUAGUUUGAGGAAUAUCCUCACAGAUCAUGUCCCCAGGUCUAGCAUCUAUAUACCUAGCCGGCAAACUUAGACCAAAAAUAAUUUUAUUGCUGUUCCCAGGUGAUAGUGGUUUUACUAGUAAAUUAUAAAUUAUAAAGGUAGGGUAAUACCAAAUUCUAAUGGGCUUCUUUAAAAUUGGCAAUUUAAAGGAGGACCCACUCAUGGUUCUGAAUGACUAUUUUGUCCCUCUAACCUUCUCAAGUUAUUUCUCCUUCCCAGCAUCUUGCAGGCAAUCAUCUCAUGCUGGGAAUGGAAACUGUCCUCCAAGCCUCAGCUUCCCUGGCACCAGGAGGAUCCUGGCAGAACUAGGCCUGCAACCAGAUCUCAGCCUGACCAUAAUUGCCUUGUAUAUAUAUGUAGUGUUUGGCUCCCAGACUUUGUCCUGACCCUAUAUGAUUCUGAGCCGUUGUUAAUAAGUAAAAUACAAAUUUUCUAGACCAGCUAUAUUGCCUAUGUUGACUACACCAAAAUAAACUGCUUUCUUGCUUUACCUCCACUUUUCUCUCUACAAAGAUUCAGGGUGAGGCUGGGGCCGUAGCUCAGUGGCAGAGCGUUGGCCUAGCACAUGUGACACACUGGGUUCAAUCCUUAGCACCACAUAAAAAAAUAAAUAAAUGAAAUAAAGGCAUGCUGUCCAUCUAAAACUACAAGGUGUUAAAUGACUGGACCUGGUCUGUUAAGAUUCCCAGAGCCCCAGGACACGGUGGCCCACACCUAUGACCCAAUAGCUCUGAAGGCUGAAGCAGGAGGAUCAAAAGUUCAAAGCCAGCUUCAGCAAGUUAGCCAGGCCCUAAGCUGCUUAGUGAGAUCCUGUCUUGAAAUUUAAAAAAGACUGGGGAUGUGACUUGGUGGUUAAGCAGCCCUAGGUUCACACCCUGGUACCAAAAAAUAAAAAUUAAAAAAUUCCCAGUCAGGCCUGUCCUAGAACUCCAGUAACAAAAUGAAUUGGAAAAUCAGGGAAAUUAGUUACCAAAUAAAUACAGAAUAUUUUAAAGAAAGGUGUAAUACAGAAAAUAAAUAAUCUGUACAUCAUCUUCCUUUGGUUUUCUUCAAGGUUUUAUUUGUGAGUUUUGACAAAACUUAUUUGUAACAAUAAAUCAAAAAUGCUUAAAAGAUUAGGACUAAAUUAUAGAGCUUUGAGAUCUCUUAUGAUUUGCAUAAGAAUGGAAAGUACUAAUUCUGUGCAUGUGCCCCUAGGGAUUUUGGCUGUCUGGCCUAUUUAUAGUUAUAAACUUAUGACUAAGAAAAAG